rnacentral:rRNA from 1 species
GAUGAACGCUGGCGGCGUGCCUAAUACAUGCAAGUCGAACGAACAGCCGCGGAACUUUCUCCUCUUCCGUUUUCGGCGCAAACGUGUGUGACACGUGUAUACCCUCUCUCUUUGACUGGGAUACCUUCGUGAAACCGGACUUCUUACCCCAUAAUCUAUUUAACCUCAUCGUUCAGUAGUGAAAGACGGUUUUGCUGUCACUUAUGCUUUGAUUCGCGCCGGAUUAGCUAGUUGGUAAGGUAACUGCUUACCAAGGCAACGAUGAGUAGCCGACCUGAGAGGAUGAUCGGCCACACUGGAACUGAGACACGGCCCAGACUCCUACGGGAGGCAGCAGUAGGGAAUCUUCCGCAAUGGGCGAAAGUCUGACGGAGCAACGCCGCGUGAGUGAUGACGGUCUUCGGAUUGUAAAGCUCUGUUAAUAGGGAAGAAGAAAUUUGUAAGGAACAAUGAAAGGGAUGACGGGAACUAAAAAAGAAAGCACGGGUAAACAAGGU